rnacentral:antisense_RNA from 1 species
GGAGGUACGACAUUGCUCACAUUGCUUCCAGUGUUUACUUUAGCCAGCAUAUGCUGGCUAUUUUUU